rnacentral:ncRNA from 1 species
GAAAGCCGUAUUUCAUGAAAGUUGUAUGUACGGCUUGGAGGGAGAUCUUUCCUAUCUUUCGAGAUCCACCCUAC